GAUGAACGCUGGCGGCGUGCCUAAUACAUGCAAGUCGAGCGAAAAGACGAGGAGCUUGCUCCUCUGACGUUAGCGGCGGACGGGUGAGUAACACGUGGAUAACCUACCUCUAAGACUGAGAUAACUUCGGGAAACCGGAGCUAAUACCGGAUAACAUAUUUAACCGCAUGGUUCAAUAAUGAAAUACGGUUUUGCUGUCACCUAUAGAUGGAUCAGCGUCUCAUUAGCUAGUUGGUAAGGUAACGGCUUACCAAGGCGACGAUGGGUAACCGAGCUGAGGGGGGGUACGGCCACACUGGAACUGAGCCACGGUCCAGACUCCUACGGGAGGCAGCAGUACGUAAUCGUCGGCGAUGGGCGAAAGCCUGACGGAGCAACGCAGGGUGAGUGAUGAAGGGCUUCGGAGCGGAAAACUCUGUUAUGAGGGAAAAACAAAUGUGUAAGUAACGAUGCACGACUUGACGGUACCUAAACAGAAAGCCACGGCUAACUACGUG
rnacentral:rRNA from 1 species